GUUGCUUUCCACAAGAAAGUUUGAGUGAUCAGCACUCAAAAAGGUUAAGCACUACCAUAGGUAAUCCAUACGACCUUCUCACCAUCUUUCACUUUCAGAUACAAGAAAAGCAAAUGCUGGAUUGAUCAAUGACCAUUGUGUGAUCUGUCUUGAGAUUGAGCAGUAGGGAUCAAGUAAUAACACUCUUGGAUUUAGCCUAAUUAUACAUCACGCCAAUUUCUUAACCUCUUUACAGGCCGACAUGCUCAAGCUCGUGAAUGUAAAACACUACUACAUGUAUGUUGUACGCGCAGAAAGGCCAUUACUCCUAAAAGACCCACCAUGGUUGAAGUAAAGUGAAGCCUCGAGUGCAGUUAGAGGAGGGAGAGCAAGUGCAUAUGAGAGCUAAAAAGCGAUGCAGCAGCUUUGUGGACGGAGAAGGAUGGGUUGACUUUGGUCCGCACGAAGUCAAACAUAGAAAAGAAGCCGGCAAUUUCAUCUGCUGAAACCAAGUCUGUACCUACUCUUUCAAGCUGCUGCACAUUUACAGAGGAUGGCGGGCAAGCGAAGGCGACGAUGGUACCCACACCUGGAUGUUCAGAGUCUUUGUAUUCAACAGAUAAGGGAAGGUCUGGAACAUGGCGGGAACGUUUUUCAAGGUCAGAAAUUGCAUCCCAGGAACGAUGGAGCAGUUCUGAGUUUACCACCAAAUUUGCCAAUUCCAGUCCACUGCUAAACCUGCAACCGUUAAGACGACAAAUUGGAAUUGGGAUUUCGGCGGGCACUCAUACGUUAAGUUAAUAGGGAGAGGAUCAUUGCUUACUUGCAUGAUUGGCUCAUUUUCUAGUUCUGGGGUGGGUGACCGUGACGUGCUUUGUCCGCAACAACUGAGCUUCCAAGUUUGAUAAUACUACUGUAUCAUAAUAAUAACUGGAGAGAUGGACGAUGAUAAGAAUUAAGAAACAAACUUUCGGUAGGUCAAUAAAUUAAUUACGGACCCCGUAAGAGAGGUGCCCGGUCUUUCC